CCUCCAAGCCUAAAUACUCGUACAUGACCGAUAGUGAACCAGUACCGUGAGGGAAAGGUGAAAAGCACCCCGAUGAGGGGAGUGAAACAGUACCUGAAACCGGAUGCCUACAAGCAGUGGGAGCUCCCUUGAUGGAGUGACCGCGUACCUCUUGCAUAAUGGGUCAGUGACUUAGUGUAUCAUGCAAGCUUAAGCCGAUAGGUGUAGGCGCAGCGAAAGCGAGUCUGAAUAGGGCGAUUGAGUAUGAUGCAUUAGACCCGAAACCCGGCGAUCUAUGCAUGACCAGGCUGAAGGUGCGGUAACACGCACUGGAGGGCCGAACCGAUUAAUGUUGCAAAAUUAUCGGAUGAGUUGUGCUUAGGGGUGAAAGGCCAAUCAAGCCGGGAAAUAGCUGGUUCUCCGCGAAAUCUAUUGAGGUAGAGCGUCGGAUGAUUGCCGUUGGGGGUAGAGCACUGGAUGGAUGCGGGGGUCGCGAGAUCUACCAAUUCUAACCAAACUCCGAAUACCAACGAGUCUAGUCCGGCAGACAGACGGCGGGUGCUAAGGUCCGUCGUCAAAAGGGAAACAGCCCUAACCUACAGCUAAGGUCCCCAAGUCACGUCUAAGUGGGAAAGCAUGUGGGAUUUCCAAAACAACCAGGAGGUUGGCUUAGAAGCAGCCAUCCUUUAAAGAAAGCGUAACAGCUCACUGGUCUAAACAAGAGAUCCUGCGGCGAAGAUGUAUCGGGGCUCAAGACGUGCACCGAAGCUUAGGGUUCAGUCUUUUGACUGAGCGGUAGCGGAGCGUUCCGUAGGCCGAUGAAGCCAUCUGGUAAUGGGUGGUGGAGGUAUCGGAAGUGCGAAUGCUGACAUGAGUAGCGUUAAAGAGGGUGAGAUGCCCUCUCGCCGAAAUUCCAAGGGUUCCUGCUUAAAGCUAAUCUGAGCAGGGUUAGUCGGCCCCUAAGACGAGCCCGAAGGGGGUAGUCGAUGGGAACACGGUUAAUAUUCCGUGACCUGGAGGUGUGUGACGGAUGGCGUAAAUUGUCUGGCCUUAUCGGAUUGGUCCAGGCAGUGAAGUUGUCCCAGGAAAUAGCCCCUCCGUAUAGACCGUACCCUAAACCGACACUGGUGGAAUGGUAGAGUAUACCAAGGCGUUUGAGAGAAGUAUCCUGAAGGAACUCGGCAAAUUGCCUCCGUACCUUCGGAAGAAGGAGGCCCCGUCUUUGGGCAACCAGAGGCGGGGGGCACAGGCCAGGGGGUAGCGACUGUUUAGCAAAAACACAGGACUCUGCUAAGUCGGCUUCAAGACGACGUAUAGGGUCUGACGCCUGCCCGGUGCCGGAAGGUUAAGAGGAGAGGUGCAAGCCUUGAAUUGAAGCCCCGGUAAACGGCGGCCGUAACUAUAACGGUCCUAAGGUAGCGAAAUUCCUUGUCGGGUAAGUUCCGACCUGCACGAAUGGCGUAACGACUUCCCCACUGUCUCCAGGAUAUGCUCAGCGAAAUUGAAUUCUCCGUGAAGAUGCGGAGUACCCGCGGUUAGACGGAAAGACCCCGUGCACCUUUACUGCAGCUUCAGAGUGGCAUUAGGA
rnacentral:rRNA from 1 species